AAAAAAUUACGGAAAAACGGAGCUUACCGGCGGCGGCGCUCUCGGGUGCGGCGGCUCUCCGGCGAGGUUCGUGUUUUGGUGAUUCGGCUCCGGUCAACCUGUAGAGAAAAGAAUGGUGAUCACGGUGAUAUAAAAAUUGCAUCAAACGGAGGCCGGGAAGGGCCUCAUCGGAGGCAAAAAUCGAGAAGGGGCGCGGCGGUGCCGCUAGGCUUCGGCCGUGUAUUCCGGCCGUUUGGCCGGGAUUUUGGCUCCGAUUUGGCCACAUGAGGAAUC
rnacentral:lncRNA from 1 species